AUUGAACGCUGGCGGCAGGCUUAACACAUGCAAGUCGAGCGGAGUGAUGGUGCUUGCACUAUUACUUAGCGGCGGACGGGUGAGUAAUGCUUAGGAAUCUGCCAUUUAGUGGGGGACAACAUUCCGAAAGGAAUGCUAAUACCGCAUACGUCCUACGGGAGAAAGCAGGGGAUCUUCGGACCUUGCGCUAAAUGAUGAGCCUAAGUCGGAUUAGCUAGUUGGUGGGGUAAAGGCCUACCAAGGCGACGAUCUGUAGGGGGUCUGAGAGGAUGAUCCGCCACACUGGGACUGAGACACGGCCCAGACUCCUACGGGAGGCAGCAGUGGGGAAUAUUGGACAAUGGGCGGAAGCCUGAUCCAGCCAUGCCGCGUGUGUGAAGAAGGCCUUUUGGUUGUAAAGCACUUUAAGCGAGGAGGAGGCUCUCCUAGUUAACACCUAGGAAGAGUGGACGUUACUCGCAGAAUAAGCACCGGCUAACUCUGUGCCAGCCGCCGCCGAACAC
rnacentral:rRNA from 1 species